rnacentral:rRNA from 1 species
UACAGAGGUCUCAAGCGUUGUUCGGAUUCAUUGGGCGUAAAGGGUGCGUAGGCGGCGCGGUAAGUCGGGUGUGAAAUCUCGGGGCUUAACUCCGAAACUGCAUUCGAUACUGCCGUGCUUGAGGACUGGAGAGGAGACUGGAAUUUACGGUGUAGCGGUGAAAUGCGUAGAUAUCGUAAGGAACACCAGUGGCGAAAGCGGCUUCCUGGUCCAGCACCGACGGUCAGGCACGAAAGCGUGGGGAGCAAACAGG